ACCCCUUGCUUGCCUGUUGCCACCACGAGAGUUGGGGACUCAGGCGGGACCGCCGGUGACAAACCGGAGGAAGGUGGGGACGACGUCAAGUCAUCAUGGCCCUUAUGUCCUGGGCUACACACGUGCUACAAUGGCCGGUACAGAGCGCAGCGAGGCCGCGAGGCGGAGCGAAUCGCUUAAAGCCGGUCCCAGUACGGAUUGGAGUCUGCAACCCGACUCCAUGAAGUUGGAAUCGCUAGUAAUCGCGCAUCAGCAUGGCGCGGUGAAUACGUUCCCGGGCCUUGUACACACCGCCCGUGAAUCGAAUUCCCGCGGCCGCCAUNA
rnacentral:rRNA from 1 species